GACUCGGUGGCGCAACGAUAGCACAUCCGACUUCAGAUCGGAAGGCUGCGUGUUCAAAUCACGUCCGGGUCA